rnacentral:rRNA from 1 species
AUUGAACGCUGGCGGCGUGCCUAACACAUGCAAGUCGAGCGGUAACAGGUGUAGCAAUACAUGCUGACGAGCGGCGAACGGGUGAGUAAUGCUUCGGAAUCUACCUUAUGGUGGGGAAUAACUAGCCGAAAGGUUAGCUAAUACCGCAUACGUCCUACGGGAGAAAGCAGGGGAUCGUAAGACCUUGCGCCAAAAGAUGAGCCGAAGUCGGAUUAGCUAGUUGGUAGGGUAACGGCCUACCAAGGCGACGAUCCGUAACUGGUCUGAGAGGACGACCAGUCACACCGGAACUGAGACACGGUCCGGACUCCUACGGGAGGCAGCAGUGGGGAAUAUUGGACAAUGGGGGAAACCCUGAUCCAGCGACGCCGCGUGGGUGAAGAAGGCCUGCGGGUU